rnacentral:rRNA from 1 species
UACGUAGGAUCCGAGCGUUGUCCGGAUUUACUGGGUGUAAAGGGGGCGCAGGCGGACUGGUAAGUCAGUGGUGAAAUCUCGUCGCUUAACGACGAAACUGCCUUUGAUACUAUCAGUCUUGAAUCCGGUAGAGAUCUGUGGAAUUCCGAGUGUAGCAGUGAAAUGUGUAGAUAUUCGGAAGAACACCAGUGGCGAAGGCAGCAGAUUGGGCCGGUAUUGACGCUCAGGCACGAAAGCAUGGGGAUCAAACAGG